rnacentral:rRNA from 1 species
UGGGGAAUAUUGGACAAUGGGGGAAACCCUGAUCCAGCGACGCCGCGUGGGUGAAGAAGGCCUGCGGGUUGUAAAGCCCUUUCGGUGGGGAAGAAAAGCCUCGACCUAACACGUCGGGGUAUUGACGUAACCCACAAAAGAAGCACCGGCUAACUCUGUGCCAGCAGCCGCGGAAAUACAGCGGGUGCGAGCGUGAAUCGGAAUUACUGGGCGUAAAGCGCGCGUAGGCGGUUAUACAAGUCGAGUGUGAAAUCCCCGGGCUCAACCUGGGAACUGCAUUCGAGACUGUAUGGCUUGAGUAUGGGAGAGGGAGGCGGAAUUUCAGGUGUAGCGGUGAAAUGCGUAGAUAUCUGAAGGAACAUCAGUGGCGAAAGCGGCCUCCUGGACCAAUACUGACGCUCAUGUGCGAAAGCGUGGGGAGCAAA